UACAGAGGGUGCGAGCGUUAAUCGGAAUUACUGGGCGUAAAGCGUGCGUAGACGGUCAAGUAAGUCGGGUGUGAAAGCCCCGGGCUCAACCUGGGAAUUGCAUUCGAGACUGCGUGGCUAGGGUGCGGGAGAGGGAAGCGGAAUUUCCGGUGUAGCGGUGAAAUGCGUAGAUAUCGGAAGGAACACCAGUGGCGAAAGCGGCUUCCUGGUCCAGCACCGACGUUCAGGCACGAAAGCGUGGGGAGCAAACAGG
rnacentral:rRNA from 1 species